rnacentral:rRNA from 1 species
GAGUUUGAUCGUGGCUCAGGAUGAACGCUGGCGGCGUGCCUAAUACAUGCAAGUCGAGCGAACAGACGAGGAGCUUGCUCCUCUGACGUUAGCGGCGGACGGGUGAGUAACACGUGGAUAACCUACCUAUAAGACUGGGAUAACUUCGGGAAACCGGAGCUAAUACCGAAUAAUAUAUUGAACCGCAUGGUUCAAUAGUGAAAAACGGUUUUGCUGUCACUUAUAGAUGGAUCCGCGCCGCAUUAGCUAGUUGGUAGGGUAACGGCUUACCAAGGCGACGAUGCGUAGCCGACCUGAGAGGGUGAUCGGCCACACUGGAACUGAGACACGGUCCAGACUCCUACGGGAGGCAGCAGUAGGGAAUCUUCCGCAAUGGGCGAAAGCCUGACGGAGCAACGCCGCGUGAGUGAUGAAGGUCUUCGGAUCGUAAAACUCUGUUAUUAGGGAAGAACAAAUGUGUAAGUAACUAUGCACGUCUUGACGGUACCUAAUCAGAAAGCCACGGCUAACUACGUG